rnacentral:rRNA from 1 species
UAGAGUUUGAUCCUGGCUCACAACGAACGCUGGCGGCAGGCUUAACACAUGCAAGUCGAGCGCCCCGCAAGGGGAGCGGCAGACGGGUGAGUAACGCGUGGGAACGUACCCUUUACUNNNGAAUAACGCAUGGAAACGUGUGCUAAUACCGUAUGUGCCCUUUGGGGGAAAGAUUUAUCGGUAAAGGAUCGGCCCGCGUUGGAUUAGCUAGUUGGUGGGGUAAAGGCCUACCAAGGCGACGAUCCAUAGCUGGUCUGAGAGGAUGAUCAGCCACAUUGGGACUGAGACACGGCCCAAACUCCUACGGGAGGCAGCAGUGGGGAAUAUUGGACAAUGGGCGCAAGCCUGAUCCAGCCAUGCCGCGUGAGUGAUGAAGGCCCUAGGGUUGUAAAGCUCUUUCACCGGUGAAGAUAAUGACGGUAACCGGAGAAGAAGCCCCGGCUAACUUCGUGCCAGCAGCCGCGGUAAUACGAAGGGGGCUAGCGUUGUUCGGAUUUACUGGGCGUAAAGCGCACGUAGGCGGAUCGAUCAGUCAGGGGUGAAAUCCCAGAGCUCAACUCUGGAACUGCCUUUGAUACUGUCGAUCUGGAGUAUGGAAGAGGUGAGUGGAAUUCCGAGUGUAGAGGUGAAAUUCGU